GACAGAGGGUGCAAACGUUUGUUCGGAAUUACUGGGCGUAAAGCGCGUGUAGGCUGCUCGGAAAGUCGGGUGUGAAAGCCCUGGGCUCAACCUAGGAAGUGCACUCGAAACUUCCGAGCUGGAGUGCUGGAGAGGAAGGCGGAAUUCUCGGUGUAGAGGUGAAAUUCGUAGAUAUCGAGAGGAACACCGGUGGCGAAGGCGGCCUUCUGGACAGCCACUGACGCUGAGACGCGAAAGCGUGGGGAGCAAACAGG
rnacentral:rRNA from 1 species